rnacentral:rRNA from 1 species
GACGAACGCUGGCGGCGUGCUCAACACAUGCAAGUCGAACGAAAAGACGGAAAGAGCUUGCUCUUUUCAGAAUUGAGUGGCAAACGGGUGAGUAACACGUAAACAACCUGCCUUCAGGAUGGGGACAACAGACGGAAACGACUGCUAAUACCGAAUAAGUUCCAAGAGCCGCAUGGCCCAUGGAAGAAAAGGUGGCCUCUACCUGUAAGCUAUCGCCUGAAGAGGGGUUUGCGUCUGAUUAGCUGGUUGGAGGGGUAACGGCCCACCAAGGCGACGAUCAGUAGCCGGUCUGAGAGGAUGAACGGCCACACUGGAACUGAGACACGGUCCAGACUCCUACGGGAGGCAGCAGUGGGGAAUUUCGCA